ACAAGGGGAACUGCGGGCGGACAGGAACUCUGCCCUCCCCCUCAGUGUAUGCCUGUCCUCCCACAGCCUGCUGGGGCUCGGAGGGGCUGAUGGCAUCCCGACUCUCAGCUUCGACUGAGGCCGAGCAGACGUCCCAGUUCCAGGUUUCCGGGCCACACUCCUCCAACCACGGCCAUACCUUUCACACGAGAAACACAGAGAGGCUGGGAAUUCAGUGGACUUUGGGAUUCUGUAACCCGCGCCGAUAAACUUGUGUUUAAUCUUCACCACGAGGAACCCUUGCAGGCCAUUGAAGACUUGGGGAGGUGGAGUAGCUUUCUAUCACAAUAACGCAAACAACGCGUAGAUAUCCACGAGCGCCGCUCUCUGAUCUCCUGAGAAAUCAAAGGAGGCUUCCGUGGGGGAUGGCCACCUGGGCUCACCUCUCAAGCCUCCAGGACAUGCUGAGUGUGCCACACGUUCCCCGGGGACCUCCAAGUGAGGGAGCGAGCCGCGCCGUAGAGCACAGCCCCACAGAAGGGGAUCUGGCUUGAGCCCGACGUCCUUGAUCCACACCCCGCCUGGGCCACUUGCCAGCUAGUGGCGCGGAAGAAGCCGUGAAUGGGGAUCACGCCUCGAACAGGCUGCUAGGGCUGCGGGAUGGCACAGCCGUGAAUGGGGAUCACGCCCGAGGCACACCGCAAGCUCGCAAUGCCAUGACCGCAAACGAUGUCCUCU